rnacentral:misc_RNA from 1 species
GAUGAAGAACGCAGCGAAAUGCGAUACGUAAUGUGAAUUGCAGAAUUCAGUGAAUCAUCGAGUCUUUGAACGCACAUUGCGCCCCCUGGUAUUCCGGGGGGCAUGCCUGUCCGAGCGUCAUUGCUGCCCUCAAGCCCGGCUUGUGUGUUGGGUCUCGUCCCCCUUCCCGGGGGGACGGGCCCGAAAGGCAGCGGCGGCACAGCGUCCGGUCCUCGAGCGUAUGGGGCUUUGUCACCCGCUCUGUAGGCCCGGCCGGCGCUUGCCGAUCAACCAAAACUUUUUUCCAGGUUGACCUCGGAUCAGGUAGGGAUACCCGCUGAACUUAAGCAUAUCAAUAAGCGGAGGA